rnacentral:rRNA from 1 species
GGGUUGUGAGGUUAAGCGACUAAGCGUACACGGUGGAUGCCCUGGCAGUCAGAGGCGAUGAAGGACGUGCUAAUCUGCGAAAAGCGCCGGCGAGGUGAUAUGAACCUUUGACCCGGCGAUGUCCGAAUGGGGAAACCCAGUGUGUUCCGACACACUAUCGUUAACUGAAUACAUAGGUUAACGAGGCGAACCGGGGGAACUGAAACAUCUAAGUACCCCGAGGAAAAGAAAUCAACCGAGAUUCCCCCAGUAGCGGCGAGCGAACGGGGAGCAGCCCAGAGUCUGAAUCAGCUUGUGUGUUAGUGGAAGCGUCUGGAAAGUCGCACGGUACAGGGUGACAGUCCCGUACACGAAAGCACACAGGUUGUGAACUCGAAGAGUAGGGCGGGACACGUGGUAUCCUGUCUGAAUAUGGGGGGACCAUCCUCCAAGGCUAAAUACUCCUGACUGACCGAUAGUGAACCAGUACCGUGAGGGAAAGGCGAAAAGAACCCCGGCGAGGGGAGUGAAAAAGAACCUGAAACCGUGUACGUACAAGCAGUGGGAGCCUCUUUUAUGGGGUGACUGCGUACCUUUUGUAUAAUGGGUCAGCGACUUAUAUUCUGUAGCAAGGUUAACCGUAUAGGGGAGCCGAAGGGAAACCGAGUCUUAACUGGGCGUUAAGUUGCAGGGUAUAGACCCGAAACCCGGUGAUCUAGCCAUGGGCAGGUUGAAGGUUGGGUAACACUAACUGGAGGACCGAACCGACUAAUGUUGAAAAAUUAGCGGAUGACUUGUGGCUGGGGGUGAAAGGCCAAUCAAACCGGGAGAUAGCUGGUUCUCCCCGAAAGCUAUUUAGGUAGCGCCUCGUGAACUCAUCUUCGGGGGUAGAGCACUGUUUCGGCUAGGGGGCCAUCCCGGCUUACCAACCCGAUGCAAACUACGAAUACCGAAGAAUGUUAUCACGGGAGACACACGGCGGGUGCUAACGUCCGUCGUGAAGAGGGAAACAACCCAGACCGCCAGCUAAGGUCCCAAAGUCAUGGUUAAGUGGGAAACGAUGUGGGAAGGCACAGACAGCCAGGAUGUUGGCUUAGAAGCAGCCAUCAUUUAAAGAAAGCGUAAUAGCUCACUGGUCGAGUCGGCCUGCGCGGAAGAUGUAACGGGGCUAAACCAUGCACCGAAGCUGCGGCAGCGACGCUUAUGCGUUGUUGGGUAGGGGAGCGUUCUGUAAGCCGUUGAAGGUGUCCUGUGAGGGGUGCUGGAGGUAUCAGAAGUGCGAAUGCUGACAUAAGUAACGAUAAAGCGGGUGAAAAGCCCGCUCGCCGGAAGACCAAGGGUUCCUGUCCAACGUUAAUCGGGGCAGGGUGAGUCGACCCCUAAGGCGAGGCCGAAAGGCGUAGUCGAUGGGAAACAGGUUAAUAUUCCUGUACUUGGUGUUACUGCGAAGGGGGGACGGAGAAGGCUAUGUUAGCCGGGCGACGGUUGUCCCGGUUUAAGCAUGUAGGCGGAACGAUUAGGUAAAUCCGGUCGUUUAUUAACGCUGAGGUGUGAUGACGAGGCACUACGGUGCUGAAGUAACAAAUGCCCUGCUUCCAGGAAAAGCCUCUAAGCAUCAGGUAACAUCAAAUCGUACCCCAAACCGACACAGGUGGUCAGGUAGAGAAUACCAAGGCGCUUGAGAGAACUCGGGUGAAGGAACUAGGCAAAAUGGUGCCGUAACUUCGGGAGAAGGCACGCUGAUAUGUAGGUGAAGUCCCUGCGGAUGGAGCUGAAAUCAGUCGAAGAUACCAGCUGGCUGCAACUGUUUAUUAAAAACACAGCACUGUGCAAACACGAAAGUGGACGUAUACGGUGUGACGCCUGCCCGGUGCCGGAAGGUUAAUUGAUGGGGUUAGCGGCAACGCGAAGCUCUUGAUCGAAGCCCCGGUAAACGGCGGCCGUAACUAUAACGGUCCUAAGGUAGCGAAAUUCCUUGUCGGGUAAGUUCCGACCUGCACGAAUGGCGUAAUGAUGGCCAGGCUGUCUCCACCCGAGACUCAGUGAAAUUGAACUCGCUGUGAAGAUGCAGUGUACCCGCGGCAAGACGGAAAGACCCCGUGAACCUUUACUAUAGCUUGACACUGAACACUGGUCCUUGAUGUGUAGGAUAGGUGGGAGGCUUUGAAGCGUGGACGCCAGUCUGCGUGGAGCCAACCUUGAAAUACCACCCUUUAAUGGCUGGUGUUCUAACGUAGACCCGUGAUCCGGGUUGCGGACAGUGUCUGGUGGGUAGUUUGACUGGGGCGGUCUCCUCCCAAAGAGUAACGGAGGAGCACGAAGGUUAGCUAAUCCUGGUCGGACAUCAGGAGGUUAGUGCAAUGGCAUAAGCUAGCUUGACUGCGAGAGUGACGGCUCGAGCAGGUGCGAAAGCAGGUCAUAGUGAUCCGGUGGUUCUGAAUGGAAGGGCCAUCGCUCAACGGAUAAAAGGUACUCCGGGGAUAACAGGCUGAUACCGCCCAAGAGUUCAUAUCGACGGCGGUGUUUGGCACCUCGAUGUCGGCUCAUCACAUCCUGGGGCUGAAGUAGGUCCCAAGGGUAUGGCUGUUCGCCAUUUAAAGUGGUACGCGAGCUGGGUUUAGAACGUCGUGAGACAGUUCGGUCCCUAUCUGCCGUGGGCGCUGGAGAAUUGAGGGGGGCUGCUCCUAGUACGAGAGGACCGGAGUGGACGCAUCACUGGUGUUCGGGUUGUCAUGCCAAUGGCACUGCCCGGUAGCUAAAUGCGGAAGAGAUAAGUGCUGAAAGCAUCUAAGCACGAAACUUGCCCCGAGAUGAGUUCUCCCUGAGACUUUAAGUCUCCUGAAGGAACGUUGAAGACUACGACGUUGAUAGGUCGGGUGUGUAAGCGCAGCGAUGCGUUGAGCUAACCGAUACUAAUGAACCGUGAGGCUUAACCUUACAACGCCGAAG